ensembl:lncRNA
CAGAAAUUUCACAGAGGAGAUGCAAGCUUUUUUUUUUGUUUUGUUUUGUUUUGUUUGAGCAAAUUACAUCAUGAACGUGCCAUAAAAGAAUAGGUAACAUCCUCACUAUAAAUAUAAUAAUCCAGAGCUAUGGGAACUAUGGAAUGCAACCGCUAGAGCUUUGUAUGCAUGUACAAUUAAUUAAUUCGUUAUCUUUUUUUUUUUUUCUCUCUCUUUUUUUGUAAAAAAAAAAAAAAAAAAAAGAAAGAAAGAAAGGAUGCAGAAGUUGCAUAGACAGCUUUAGAAAUUUGGACAACAAAAAUGAAAUGAGCAAAAAAAAAAAGAGCAGAACAUGCGCGCUCGUCAAUCUGCUCUUUAACGUACAGCAGCUCUGCCUCGGCUUAAAUCACAGCAGAGUCGCCGUGAACACUCCGAAACCGCAACCUAAUAACGAACACUCGAACAGCGUUUCAGUUCACCUCCUGGCUACGUCCGAGUUUUCCUACUACCCAGUGGGGAAAGGUCAAAAUCACAUACUGAAUAAAACAAUAAGACCGCACACAGGAUUCACGACUGAAAUGAACUAGUUGAAAGGUUGCUAUAGUUAACACAAGUACCGUACUGCGUAGAGCUACGGGAUAUCAUCAUGAUAUACAGCAAUCGGCCAGAACAUUAAAACCACCUGCCUAAUAUCGUGUAGGUCCCACUCUCCUAGUCCCACCAUGGAGCACGGACUCCACGAGACCUCUGAAGGGGUGCCGUGGUGUCUAACGCCAAGAUGUUAGCAGCAGAUCCUUUAAGCCGUUUGGCAGACACUUUUAUCCAGAGUGACUUAAAUUUAUCCUCAUUUUACAACUGAGCAGUUGAGGGUUAAGGGCCUCGAUCAAGGGCCCAACAGUGGAAGCUUGGCAGAGCUGGGAUUUGAACUUACGACCCUAUGAUCAAUAGUCCAACGUCUUAACCACUGAGAGACCACUGCACGUCCUGUAAGUUGUGAGGUCGGGCCUCCGUGGAUCGGACUUGUUUGUCCAGAACGUCCCACAGAUACGCUCGAUCGGAUCGAGAUCUGGGGAAUUUAGAGGCCGAGUCAACACCUUGAGCUCUUUGUCACGUUCCUCAAACCGUUCCUGAGCAAUGUCUGCAGUGUGUCAGGGAGCGUUAUCCGGCUGAAACAGGACGCUGAUAUUAGGAAUACCGUUACCAUGAAGGGGUGCACUCGGCCUGCAGCGGUGUUUAGGUAGGUGGUACGGAUCAAAGUAACAUCCACAUGAACGCCAGGACACAAGGCUUUCCAGCAGAACAUUGCCGAGAGCAUCACACUGCAUCCACCGGCUCGCCUUCUUCCCACAGUGCAUCCUGGUGCCGUCUCUCCCCCAUGUAAGAGUGCAAAAGUGAUUCAUCAGAACAGG